UGUAGGAGCGAGCCUGCUCGCGAUGGUGUGUCAGACACAUUUAUGUCACUGAUACUCCAUCGCGAGCAGGCUCGCUCCUACA
rnacentral:antisense_RNA from 1 species